AUGAUGCUGAUGGGUUGGGUUUGCAUACAAUGCAGUACGGACCAACAGAAUGGUCUCAUUGCAAGGUGGACAUAUAGGCAAGACAUGUCAAGAGAGAGAGAAGCUUGGACUAUUGAGGAGGAACAUGCACUGAUUAAUGCCCAUCGGGUAUAUGGGAAUAGAUGGGCAGAAAUAGCAAAAGUUCUUCCUAGAAGGAAUCGGGUACUUCUAUUUGUUCUUAUGUUCUUCUCACCUAUAGGUAAAGUCAAAGAAGACAAAACCAAGUGGAUUAUUGGAGUUACAAGAUACACAAAAUCAUCGGGAGUACAUCACAGGUCAUCUAAAUCUUCUUUUCUAAUAUGA
rnacentral:rRNA from 1 species